rnacentral:miRNA from 1 species
GUGGGUUGGGGGCGGGGG